rnacentral:rRNA from 1 species
GAGUCUAGCAUGUGCGCAAGUCAUUGGGACUCUAACGAAACCUAAAGGCGCAAUGAAAGUGAAGGUCCGCCUAGCGCGGACCGAGGGAGGAUGGGCGGUCCCGCGGGACCGCCUCGCACUCCCGGGGCGUCUCGUUCUCAUCGCGAGAAGAGGCGCACCCAGAGCGUACACGCUGGGACCCGAAAGAUGGUGAACUAUGCCUGGUCAGGACGAAGUCAGGGGAAACCCUGAUGGAGGUCCGUAGCGAUUCUGACGUGCAAAUCGAUCGUCGGAACUGGGUAUAGGGGCGAAAGACUAAUCGAACCAUCUAGUAGCUGGUUCCCUCCGAAGUUUCCCUCAGGAUAGCUGGCGCUCGCUUCUCGCGAGUCUCAUUCGGUAAAGCGAAUGAUUAGAGGCAUUGGGGUCGAAACGGCCUCAACCUAUUCUCAAACUUUAAAUGGGUGAGAUCUCCGGCUUGCUUGAACUGUGAAGCCGCGAGAUAUCGGAUCAGAGUGCCAAGUGGGCCACUUUUGGUAAGCAGAACUGGCGCUGUGGGAUGAACCAAACGCCGAGUUAAAGCGCCUAAAUCGACGCUUAUGGGAUACCAUGAAAGCGUUGGUAACUUAAGACAGCAGGACGGUGGCCAUGGAAGUCGGA